GACGAACGCUGGCGGCGUGCCUAAUACAUGCAAGUCGAACGAGAGCGACCGGUGCUUGCACUGGUCAAUCUAGUGGCGAACGGGUGAGUAACACGUGGGUAACCUGCCCAUCAGAGGGGGAUAACAUCCGGAAACGGAUGCUAAAACCGCAUAGGUCUUCGAGCCGCAUGGCUUGAAGAGGAAAAGAGGCGCAAGCUUCUGCUGAUGGAUGGACCCGCGGUGCAUUAGCUAGUUGGCGAGGUAACGGCUCACCAAGGCCGUGAUGCAUAGCGGACCUGAGAGGGUGAUCGGCCACAUUGGGACUGAGAAACGGCCCAAACUCCGGCGGGAGGCAGCAGUAGAGAAUCUUCCGCGAUGGACGAAAGGGUGACGGAGCAACGCCGCGUGAGGGAAGAAGGUUUUCGGAUCGUAGAACUAUGUAGUUAGAGAAGAUCAAGUGCUAGAGUAACUGUUAGCGCAUUGACGGUAUCUAGCCAGAAAGCCACGGCUAACUACGUG
rnacentral:rRNA from 1 species